rnacentral:rRNA from 1 species
GAUGAACGCUAGCGGCAGGCUUCAUACAUGCAAGUCGAGGGGUAACAGGUCUGUAGCAAUACAGAUGCUGACGACCGGCAAACGGGUGCGGAACACGUACAGAACCUUCCUUCGAGUGGGAGAUAGCCCAGGGAAACUUGGAGUAAUAUCCCAUAGGAUCAUAGAGUGGCAUCACUUAGUGAUUAAAGAUUUAUCGCUUGAAGAUGGCUGUGCGGCUGAUUAGGUAGUUGGUGUAGGUAACGGCUCACCAAGCCUUCGAUCAGUAACUGGUGUGGGAGCACGAGCAGUCACACGGGCACUGGGACACGGGCCCGACUCCUACGGGAGGCAGCAGUAAGGAAUAUUGGGCAAUGGAGGCAACUCUGACCCAGCCAUGCCGCGUGGAGGAUGAAGGUCCUCUGGAUUGUAAACUUCUUUUAUUUGGGAAGAAAUGCCGAUUUUCUAAUUGGUUUGACGGUACCAGAUGAAUAAGCACCGGCUAACUCCGUGCCAGCCGCCGCAGUAACAC